UGAAGCCUGAAGACUGAAGACUGAAGACUGAAACAGGUCAGUGUUCCUGUUUGACCUGUCAGACUGACUUCAGAUCAGAAGAUGAGUGACUGUGUGGAGGAAGAGGAGGACAGAGCAAAGUCUCCAGUACCCAGCUGUCUGUCUAUGAAGAGUGACCGGUCCAUGAUGAGACCUCCAGACUUCAGUGAUGAACCUGGACCCUCAGAGUCAAAAGAGAAGAAGAGGAGUCAUGCUUCUGUGGAGGAGCGAUGUCC